GCGUGCAGGGGCCGUGCGUGCGUUUGUGUGCGGUGCGCGCGCGUGUGUCCCGCGUGUGCACAGGCGAGGCGGCGGCGGGCGCGCGACCCGGCCGCGGUAGUGCGUGCCCGUCGCUCUGCGCGCCCGCCCGCCGGAGCGCAGCAUCGCCUCCGGCCAGGAGUGUGCAUGCGUGGGAGUGGUCCGGAGGCUCCCAUGAGGUCCUCCAUGUGAAGGGGCUCAGCGGAACACCUUAACAGGAAGCAAGUAUGUGGAUCCUUCCAUACAGCCUUCGAGUUCACUGGUGGCCCCGCACUGCUCCAGGCACUGGAGAGACAGAUGGGGAAAUGGAAGCACAGAGAGGCCAAGACACUUGUUCAAGGCCACACAGCCCGUAAGUGGUAAGGCCAGGACUUGAAUCUGAGCAGUCCAGCUACAGAGCCCACAUGCUGAAAGCACCGUGCUGUGCAGUUUUCUGGCAGGUGAUGCUGAGGACAGCGAUGACACUUCUGACACAGGGCUUUGGGGAGCACCACGUGCAUUAAUAUAUGGGAACCUGCUCUGCCAGCUAAAAAGUGCUGGACCCAUAUGAACUCUGACUUAGGUACAAGUUGGGGGAGAGGAAAGGCUACUGGGAGCAGCAUUGUGGAAUGCCUACUGUUUGCAGACCCUGUGUGAAGCGCUGAGAAACGGAAUGAGGAAGGAGUCCCAGUCUCGGCACUCAGGGACUUCCUACGCUCUCAGUGAGAUAGACACAAAUCAUUACAGUGCAGGUGCCAGUACAUGAGUUAGAAGUGGCAGAAGGCGGCCCAGCAGACACCUGGGCCCAAAUGCUGCAUGACGCCUGCAUGGCACCUGGGCCCAAAUGCUGUGCUAAGGGCCCCUUUUUUGUACCCUCUCCUUGCAGAGGAACAGUCUGUAAAGAACACCUCCCCGGGUGUGGUGACUCACGCCUGUAUUCCCAGUGAUUUGGGAGGCUGAGGACGGAGGAUCACUUGCAGCCAGGAGUUCAAGACCAGCCUCAGCAACAUAGCAAGACCCCAUCUCUUAAAAUAAAUUACCAAAAAAAAAAAAAAAAGAGCUGAGUGUGGCCCCAGCUACUCAGGAGGCUGAGUCAGGAGGGAGAAUCCCCUGAGCCCAGGAGUUCAAGACUGCAGUGAGCCAUCUCAGAGAUGGGGUCUGGCUCUGUUGCCGAGGCUGGAGUGCCGUGAUGCGAUCUCUUCUCACUGCAACCUCUGCCUCCCAGGUUCAAGUGAUUCUCCUGCCUCAGCCCCCCGAGUAGCUGAGACUACAGGCGCCUGCCACCGCGCCUGGCUAAUUUUUGUAUUUUUAGUAGAGACGAUUUCACCAUGUUGGCUAGGGUGGUCUUGAUCUCCUGACCUCAAGUGAUCUGCCCCCCUCAGCCUCCCAAAGUUCUGGCAUUAGAGGCGUGAGCCACUGCAACCAGCCUAAAAAAGUUUUUUUUAAUAAAGAACACCUACUACUCUGCCUCCUGCCAGGCUGGGCGUAGCAGGCACCUCCUCCAGAAGGCCCACCAGGCUUGGCACUUGCUCCAGGCUCCCACAGCAUGCACCCCUGGCCUCGUCAUGGCCCAAACAUCAAUCUAGCACUAGACUGAGUCCAGAGUGUUCAAGGGCCUCCUGCCAGCUCCUGGCAUACAGUGGCUGCUCAGGAAGUGCCUGCUCGCUGAAGGAAUGAAUAAAUGAUUAAAACCCUGCCCGUUUCU